rnacentral:rRNA from 1 species
CCUGCGGAAGGAUCAUUGUCGAAAUCGAACGGAAGAACGACCCGCGAAUCGUCAUUGCGUACUAGACAGAGCCCGUGAGCACCUAACGCUCAUGGGACUCGCGUCGCGUCGGCGUGGGUGUACUCGAGACCAGCGUCGUACCGGCGGACAAACAACGUCAGCACGGAUCGUGCCAAGGAGCUGCAUGGAGAGAAUCGUCGUCCCACGCCUUUGAUAGUCCUCGAUGCGGGACGGGGGGCGGGGGAUGUACGCAAUCUCUACUAAAGUCUAAACGACUCUCGGCAACGGAUAUCUCGGCUCUUGCAUCGAUGAAGAACGUAGCGAAAUGCGAUACUUGGUGUGAAUUGCAGAAUCCCGCGAACCAUCAAUUCUUUGAACGCAAGUUGCGCCCGAAGCCAUUCGGCCGAGGGCACGCCUGCCUGGGUGUCGUGAAUCCCCUUGCCCCUAGGCACCCGCAUGAGCAUUGGCGGGGAUAUAUGCUCGGGCGCAGAAUAUGGUCUCCCGUGGGAUCGGCAUGCACGGCAUGUCGAGGUGCGGUUGGCCGAAAAUCGAGCAAUGGCUGUGACGGGCACCACGGCGUUCGGUGGAUCGAAUGAGAUUGGCUGCGCCGUGGGCUCGGCAUUAGGCGGGCUCCGGACUUUGAGUAU